UAGGGAAUCUUCCGCAAUGGGCGAAAGCCUGACGGAGCAAUGCCGCGUGAGUGAUGAAGGUUUUCGGAUCGUAAAGCUCUGUUGCCAGGGAAGAACGCUUGGGAGAGUAACUGCUCUCAAGGUGACGGUACCUGAGAAGAAAGCCCCGGCUAACUACGUGCCAGCAGCCGCGGUAAUACGUAGGGGGCAAGCGUUGUCCGGAAUUAUUGGGCGUAAAGCGCGCGCAGGCGGUCAUUUAAGUCUGGUGUUUAAUCCCGGGGCUCAACCCCGGAUCGCACUGGAAACUGGGUGACUUGAGUGCAGAAGAGGAGAGUGGAAUUCCACGUGUAGCGGUGAAAUGCGUAGAUAUGUGGAGGAACACCAGUGGCGAAGGCGACUCUCUGGGCUGUAACUGACGCUGAGGCGCGAAAGCGUGGGGAGCAAACAGGAUUAGAUACCCUGGUAGUCCACGCCGUAAACGAUGAGUGCUAGGUGUUAGGGGUUUCGAUACCC
rnacentral:rRNA from 1 species